UACGGAGGGUCCGAGCGUUAAUCGGAAUUACUGGGCGUAAAGCGUACGCAGGCGGUUUGUUAAGCGAGAUGUGAAAGCCCCGGGCUCAACCUGGGAACUGCAUUUCGAACUGAUAAACUAGAGUUUUGUAGAGGGUGGUAGAAUUUCAGGUGUAGCGGUGAAAUGCGUAGAGAUCUGAAGGAAUACCAGUGGCGAAGGCGGCCACCUGGACAAUAACUGACGCUCAUGUACGAAAGCGUGGGGAGCAAACGGG
rnacentral:rRNA from 1 species